rnacentral:rRNA from 1 species
UACGUAGGGUGCGAGCGUUAAUCGGAAUUACUGGGCGUAAAGCGUGCGCAGGCGGUCUUGCAAGACAGAUGUGAAAGCCCCGGGCUUAACCUGGGAACUGCAUUUGUGACUGUAAGGCUGGAGUGCGGCAGAGGGGGAUGGAAUUCCGCGUGUAGCAGUGAAAUGCGUAGAUAUGCGGAGGAACACCGAUGGCGAAGGCAAUCCCCUGGGCCUGCACUGACGCUCAUGCACGAAAGCGUGGGGAGCAAACAGG